rnacentral:rRNA from 1 species
UACGAAGGGGGCUAGCGUUGCUCGGAAUUACUGGGCGUAAAGGGUGCGUAGGCGGGUCUUUAAGUCAGAGGUGAAAUCCUGGAGCUCAACUCCAGAACUGCCUUUGAUACUGAGGAUCUUGAGUUCGGGAGAGGUGAGUGGAACUGCGAGUGUAGAGGUGAAAUUCGUAGAUAUUCGCAAAGAACACCAGUGGCGAAGGCGGCCGGACUGGUCCGGUUCUGACGCUGAGGCGCGGAAAGCGUGGGGAGCAAACAGG